rnacentral:tRNA from 1 species
UGGCUCAGUGGUUAAGAGCACUAGCUGAUCUUCUAGAGAACCUGGGUUCUAUUCCCAG